rnacentral:rRNA from 1 species
GUGCCAGCCGCCGCGGUAAUACAGAGGGUGCGAGCGUUGUCCGGAAUCACUGGGCGUAAAGGGCGCGUAGGCGGCCUGAUAAGUAGGGGGUGAAAUCUCGCGGCUCAACUGCGAGGCUGCCUCCUAAACUGUCGGGCUCGAGCACAGUAGAGGCAGGUGGAAUUCCCGGUGUAGCGGUGGAAUGCGUAGAGAUCGGGAAGAACAUCGGUGGCGAAGGCGGCCUGCUGGGCUGUUGCUGACGCUGAGGCGCGACAGCGUGGGGAGCAAACAGGAUUAGAUACCCGGGUAGUCC